rnacentral:rRNA from 1 species
GAUGAACGCUGGCGGCGUGCCUAAUACAUGCAAGUCGAGCAAACGGACGAGAAGCUUGCUUCUCUGAUGUUAGCGGCGGGCGGGUGAGUAACACGUGGAUAACCUACCUAUAAGACUGGGAUAACUUCGGGAAACCGGAGCUAAUACCGGAUAAUAUUUUGAACCGCAUGGUUCAAAAGUGAAAGACGGUCUUGCUGUCACUUAUAGAUGGAUCCGCGCUGCAUUAGCUAGUUGGUAAGGUAACGGCUUACCAAGGCAACGAUGCAUAGCCGACCUGAGAGGGUGAUCGGCCACACUGGAACUGAGACACGGUCCAGACUCCUACGGGAGGCAGCAGUAGGGAAUCUUCCGCAAUGGGCGAAGGCCUGACGGAGCAACGCCGCGUGAGUGAUGAAGGUCUUCGGAUCGUAAAACUCUGUUAUUAGGGAAGAACAUAUGUGUAAGUAACUGUGCACAUCUUGACGGUACCUAAUCAGAAAGCCACGGCUAACUACGUG